CCUACGGGUGGCUGCAGUGGGGAAUUUUGGACAAUGGGCGAAAGCCUGAUCCAGCCAUUCCGCGUGAGUGAAGAAGGCCUUCGGGUUGUAAAGCUCUUUCGGCAGGAACGAAACGGUGAGAGCUAAUAUCUCAUUACUAAUGACGGUACCUGAAGAAGAAGCACCGGCUAACUACGUGCCAGCAGCCGCGGUAAUACGUAGGGUAUGAGCGUUAAUCGGGAGUGCUGGGCGUAAAGCGCAAGUCGGCGGUGAAAGCCCCGGGCUUAACCUGGGAACGGCAUUUGAAACUAGGUCGCUAGAGUAUGGCAGAGGGGGGUAGAAUUCCACGUGUAGCAGUGAAAUGCGUAGAGAUGUGGAGGAAUACCGAUGGCGAAGGCAGCCCCCUGGGUCAAUACUGACGCUCAUGCACGAAAGCGUGGGGAGCAAACAGGAUUAGAUACCCCAGUAGUC
rnacentral:rRNA from 1 species